GUUGUAUGUAGUGCCACAUGAGUC
rnacentral:siRNA from 1 species